UACGUAGGGUGCAAGCGUUAAUCGGAAUUACUGGGCGUAAAGCGUGCGCAGGCGGUGAUGUAAGACCGAUGUGAAAUCCCCGGGCUCAACCUGGGAAUUGCGAUGGAGACUGCAAGGCUAGAAUCUGGCAGAGGGGGGUAGAAUUCCACGUGUAGCAGUGAAAUGCGUAGAGAUGUGGAGGAACACCGAAUGGCGAAGGCAGCCCCCUGGGUCAAGAUUGACGCUCAUGCAC
rnacentral:rRNA from 1 species